UCGAGAAUCAUUCGCAAUGGGCGCAAGCCUGACGAUGCGACGCUGCGUGAGCGAUGAAGGCCUUCGGGUCGUAAAGCUCUUUCGCCCGGGAACAAGAGAAGCCUGCUAACAUCAGGCGGAUUUGAGGGUACCGGGUAAAGAAGCACCGGCUAACUCCGUGCCAGCAGCUGCGGUAAUACGGAGGGUGCAAGCAUUAAUCGGAUUUAUUGGGCGUAAAGGGCGCGUAGGCGGGAAGGAAAGUCAGAUGUGAAAUCCCAGGGCUCAACCCUGGAACUGCAUUUGAAACUUCCUUUCUUGAGGGUAGGCGGAGAAAAUGGAAUUCCACAAGUAGCGGUGAAAUGCGUAGAUAUGUGGAAGAACACCAGUGGCGAAGGCGGUUUUCUAGCUUACAUCUGACGCUGAGGCGCGAAAGCUAGGGGAGCAAACAGG
rnacentral:rRNA from 1 species